CCCAGCACCCCACCGCUCUCCCUCUCUCUGUUUCCCCAGGUUGGGGCUGGCAGCCCUCCACUACUUUCUGUUCCUUCGUCAACGUUGACUCUUGCCUUGGACAGACCGAGCUGCUGACUGGCCCCUUCUCUCCACUCUCUGGCUAGAAGAUGACUGAAGCCCCUCCGGGGAUCUGCAAAACCUGCCAGACAGAGGGCCUGGAGUUAAGGGUUGCCGACGACAUCUAUGCUCCUUUGGGAGGUGGCGAGCGAUCUGUUCCGAGAGGUGCUCGAGCAGAAGACAGAGCCUUUUGUCAAGGACGUGGCAGAAGAGAUUUGAACAUAGAUUCAAACAUUCUUAGACUGACAACACCCUCUGUGAUGGUUAAUACGACUCCAAGUUCUUCAGCUUUGGGACGCGGACUGGCUGUCUUUGCUCCUCAGCUUGCAGAUGGCCUAUGGUGGGACCCUGUGAUCGUGUGAGUUAAUACUUAAUAAACUCUCCUUUAUAUAUCUAUCUAUCCUAUUAGUUCUGUCCCUCAAAAGAACCCUGACUAAUACACCCUUCUAACUGGGCUCCUUGCCUCAGACUUCUUUGCAACCCUCCAACUCCCCAGUCACUAUCCACACUGAUCUGGUCUGAGCAUUCCCAGACAUCUAUUCUUCCAAUGUGUCCCAUCUUCUUCCAGAAAACUCAGGAAAUGUUCUUUCAAUGAAUGAAUGAACAAAUGAACAAACAAACAAAGAAGGUGGCAAGACCAUCAAAGCACAUAAAAGUGAGGGACUUGGGCCUCAGGCUUUAGGGAGCCACGAGGUCCUGUAAAGCCCUUAAGGACAAGGUCAUAGCUCUUCGAAGCGUGGGCUGGAGGAAGAGGAGGCAGGACAGUGCUCCUGGGUGCCUGUCCCUUCCCAUGGGAUGAGAGGCAGAGUGCAGCCUCCGGCCUCUGGCACAUCUGGUGUGAGAUUCACAAGCUUCUUCCCUUGUGCAGCUCUCUGGGCUGUUCUGAGAAUCAUUUGGGACAUUGUGUGUGAUAGUGUCGUGAAAAUCCAAGUCAAACAAUCUUUGAGAGAGAGGAGAGAGAGAGAAAGAAAGAGAGAGAGAGGCUGAAGAGACUCCACCUGACACUCCACUUACACACACACUCACCUGGAGGCUGCACACUCCCACCAACCCCUGUGUGGCUUCUGUACGAGCAGGAAGCGUUUCUCAAUCACACACAUGAGAGCUGGGGUCAUCUGGGGUUGCUGAUAACAAAGCAGACAGGAUCUGCUUCCCUUCAGCAAAUACCACAGGCCAACUUGCAUAGAGCCCUCCUCUUUAGAGGGUCUGGGGUGGGGCUCAGCAUCUGGAUGGUGGCUGAAUCCAGGCUGGGAUGUUUUGCCAGGAGAGGCCGAGCAAGUGCCAGAGAAAGGGAAAGGCUGGGCCGUCUCACGCAGCUAGGGCUUUCUGGGUCUUCCCCCAAAGCUCACUGAGGUCUGCUGGAUAACACGCUUAUUCCAGUGUCUACAGGUGACAGGAUCCAGGCCAAGAGCCCCCAGAGCCAAGAUAGAAGAGCCAAGGGCUUCUUGGACAGCUUUUCCCUAUGUUUGCAGCGAACCUAUUUCCAUGUCAUUAUCGUAUUAUGUAAGCAUAAUAGCUUGUUCAUCAAGAUUUCCAAGGACUAACAAAUACAGCGCGUAUCAAAAACUAGUAUCAAAAACUAGUAAUCCAAAGUACACUGAUUAAUUAUAUAUACAGUUGCUAUAAAAUCAGUAAACAUUACAUAUGAAAGUUAAGUGAUGAUUUAGAAUAAUAAUUAGGCUAGAAAUGCGAAACUGUAUUACAUGCAUACUCAAUGUUUGUUAAACAAAGAAAAUAACUCACAAAUGUUUUCAGUGGGUGGAAAUGAAAGCCAAGGAAGAAGAGGAAAUUUCACAGAAUGGAAACUGGUUGGUGUCCAGGUGGAACGCACACAGCAGCACUCCACCCUGCUCUCAGCAGGACAGUUGGGGUUGGUGUCUGGGCAGCAGCGAGAGGAACACAGGCAGGAGAACCCAGAGGACACCCAGGGGACACAGGGGUCCCGCAAACAGCUCACCAGCAACUGAAGCAAUAGGGAGAGUUGGAAGUUCUUGAAGUGAGGAAGGAAAGUCGAAUUUAGCAGGAGGAGGUAAUAAUGGCUCAUCUUGAUUGAGUGUUCACUACGGGCUCUGCUGUUUUCUCUUUUCUUUCUUUCUUUCUUUCUUUCUUUCUUUCCUUCUUUCUUCCUUCCUUUCUUUCUUUACUUUCCUCCCUUCCUUCUUUCUUUCCUUCCUUCCUUCCUUCUUUCUCUUUCUUUCCUUCCUUUAUUCCUUCCUUCUCUCUUUCUCUCUUUCCUUCCUUCCUUCCUUCCUUCCUCACUCCCUCCCUCCCUCCCUUCCUUCCUUCUCUCUUUCUCUCUUUCUUUUUUGUUUUUGACAGAGUCUUGCUCUGUCACCCAGGCUGGAGUGCAGUGGUGUGAUCUUGUCUCACUGCAACCUCUGCCUCCUGGGUUCAAGCAAUUCUCCUGCCUCAGCCUCCCAGGUAGCUGGGAUUACAGGUAAGUGCCACCACGCCCAGCUAAUUUUUGCAUUUUUAGUAAUGUUGGCCAGGAUGAUCUCGAUCUCCUGACCUUGUGGUCCACCCGCCUCGGCCUCCCACAGUGCUGGGAUUCAGGCGUGAGCCACCGCGCCCGGCCUGCUAAGUGUUUUCUAUGCAUGAUUUUGUUUCAUCACAUACAACCCUUUGCGGGAAGUGAUGUUAUUAUUAUCACCACAUCUAUCUAUAGAUGGAGAAUCUGAUGCUCAGAGAACUGAAAUAACUUCCCCAAGCCACAGGCAGCUGCCCAGUGGUCAGCAGAGUUUCUGGACCUGACGGCCUAAUGCCAAAGCCCAGGUGACUAACCGCCGUGCGACGCUGCCUCUAUGAGGCACCAGGCCAGCGUCAAAGCCUGGAUGUCUCCCGCAGCCUUGCUCCGGAUUAUGUCCUCUAGUGGGGUGUUUAUUUCUGCAGGGGGUGGGGAGGCAAACGUGUGCAAUGCGUGUUUAUUUUUCUAUUUGUGCUAAAAUAGUAAAGAUUUCCGUUUCUGGAAAGCACACUUGACUAGAAUUGUUUGAGGGAGGUGGACUCUUGACCCCUGCAUCCAGAACCCUGGGGUGGAUCUCAACUCCAGGCUGAGCACCUGGGUGGGACGGCUCUCCACAGAACCAGCCUUGGAAGCCAAGUCAAUCAAGUGGCAGCAGACUUCUGCAGACGCGAGGAACUCACCAUCACACACGCAUUUCACAAUCUCAAAAAUGAUCUUUUAAGAUUUUUAGAUAUUUUUCUCUUGACACACGAGGGUGCCUCUCUGGAACUGGGAACAACGUAGAGACUCAGAGCCAUUCCUUCACAGCUAGCAGGAAGGAAGGCUGCUGUUCUUUCGUUUCUUUUUCUUUUCCUUUCUUUUUUCUUUUCUUUCCUUUUCUUUUUUUUUUUUUUUUAGAUGGAGUUUCGCUCUUGUUGCCCAGGCUGGAGUGCAGUGGCAUGAUCUCGGCUCACUGCAACCUCUGCCUCCCCGGUUUAAGUGAUUCUCCUGCCUCAGCCUCCCGAGUAGCUGGGACUACAGGCACCCGCCACCACACCUGGCUAAUUUUUGUAUUUUUAGUAAAGACAGGGUUUCACUGUGUUGGCCAGGAUGGUUUCGAUCUCUUGACUUCGUGAUCUGCCCGCCUUGGCCUCCCAAAGUGCUGGGAUUACAGGUGUGAGCCGCCGUGCGUGGCCUCUACCUUUUUUUAAAAUUGUUACUUGGAGAAUGUCAUUAGGGAAGGUGCGUGCCAGAUUUUCUCACUCAGUGUUUGAAUGUUUUUUCUUAAGCCCAUACAACUCCAAUCAUAACUUUUAUUAAAAUGCAAGCCAGGUGCCGACAUGCGUGGUUCUCUGCCCUGACACACGGCAGGCCUGGCUGAGUCCUGGUGAAGACGCCCAAAAUAAACCUGUCUGUGUCAGUGGGGACUUGCCAACUGCCGUGACAUUCAACCCUGAAGUCUCAGGGGCUUCAUUCAGUGCACGCUGCUGCCUCAGACCCUGUCCAGGACAGGUUGCGGGAGGGUGCUGCUGUGCACACCCACUCAGGACCCAGUCUCCUUCCCUGGCGUGGUCUCCCUGUCUUCCAGAGCCUCGGAGCCUCCUCCUGGAUUUUCUGCAGCAGCGUGACAGGCAGGGAAGCAGCAACCGUGACAGGUGUCACGGGUGGUUUGAAAGCGUCCAGGCUGGAAGUGGAGUAUGUGGCCUACCUAGAUGUGAAGGCUGAAUUUUGUCCCCUUCAAUUCACAUGUUAAAAAUCCUAACCCUCAGUACCUCAGAAUGUGGCUGCAUAGAGAGCAGAGCCAUUUGAAGAGGCAGUUAAGUUAGAAUGAGGCUGUUAGGGUGGGCCCUUAUCCAAUCUUAUUGGUGUCCUUAUAAGAAGAGGAAAUUUGGCACACAGAGUGGCUCAAUGGACUUGCACACAGAAGGUAGUCAUCUACAAGCCAAGGAGGGGGGUCUCAGAAGAAACCAAACCUGCUGACACCUUGAUCUUGGACUUCCAGCUUCCAGAGCUGUGAGGAAAUAAAUGCCUGUUGUUUAAGGGACGCAGUCUGUGGUGUUUUGUUGUGGCAGCCCUAGAAAACGGAUGCACGUGGUAGCAGGAUGAACCCAGGGUAGGAGCCUUCCUUAGCAGUCUCUGCCACAGCCUGUCAUUGGCUUUCCUCCCAGGGGAGGAUAAGCAAAGUCCCAUCCAGUCCCUGUAUCUAGCUCCAAAUUUAGGAACUUUGGGUUGUUGGGAUGUUCAAAACCCUUUAAACCCAGUCUCCUGGCUUCGUUGGCAACACAGUUCUCUCAACAACUUAGGAGGCUUCUAAUCUAUUUGUGUCCCAUCAAUUCUCACAGCUCUGGAGGCUGGAAGUCCAAGAUCAAUGUCUCAGCAGGUUUGGUUUCUUUUUUGUUAUUGUUUUUGUUUUUGAGACAGAGUUUCGCUCUGGUUGCCCAGGCUGGAGUGCAAUGGCGCAAUCUCAGCUCACUGCAACCUCCGCCUCCCAGGUUCAAGUGAUUCUCCUGUCUCAGCCUCCCGAGUAGCUGGGAAUACAGGCAUCUGCCACCACACCCAGCUAAUUUUUGUAUUUUUAGUAGAGGUGGGGUUUCUCCAUGUUGGCCAGGCUGGUCUCGAACUCCUGACCUCAGGUGAUCUGCCCAACUCAGCCUCCCAAGGUGCUGGGAUUACAGGUGUGAGCCACCGUGUCCAACCUGCUUUGGUUUCUUCUGAGAUCCCCCUCCUUGGCCUGUAGAUGGCUGCCUCUGUGUACAAGUUCAUUGAGCCACUCUGUGUGCCAAAUUUCCUCUUCUUAUAAGGAUACCAGUCAGAUUGAAUAACAUGCUAUUAAUUAUACCCCUAUUUUUUUUCCGAGUCAUAAUUCUCAAUGCUGCCUUCUUUCUGUUUGCUUCCUCAUGCCAUUCUUUCUUAACAUAAUGAUGGCUAUGUUGAGGCUAUCAGACUUGGGUAGAAAGGUACAAUCCAUGAGUUGAUGUUUGCCUCAGAGGUGAUUCACUGUGUUUAGUGAGAAGAAAGAUUCAUUGGGUCUUCUUUGUUCAAAACCUUUUAAAAUUCAGACACUGAACAGUGUCUGAGAGAGAAACUUUCAUUGUACUAAACACAGGGGAUUGUUACAACAGUUAGCAGAUCUCCACUAAUACGAGAUUAAUUUUAUCUGGGGAGGUAGAAAAAUAAGGCCCAAAGAGGAAAGAGUUUUCUAGAAGAGGUCAUUUUUUUUCCCCAUUGCUGCGUGUCCCGAAUUUCUGAUUCUCUCCAUUCUGUUUCAUUUCUUCUUGUGAAUUGAGCAGUUCUUUUCUGAGCUCAUUGUUUUUCUUGUAAUAUCUUGCCGAAUGCAGCAACAACAAGCAAAACAGCAUAAUAUUCUUGUUUACUCGUUUCCUUCCGCCUCUCCUAGAGCAUGUGUUUUUUACUUCCAGGUUAUAAUAGGCAAUAGUUUUUACCAAAUGUUUUGUCUGUCUGAGUAUAACAUGGAUCUCCAGUUACCUAACCCGCUACAUCUCUUUCCUUUUUGCUCAGCCUUUGUAUUUUAGUUUUUGUCAUGGAAGUACCCCACUUCAAGAAAUGAAUUAUUAUAUUAGUCAAAAAAUACUAAUUGCUGAAACGAACAGCUGCCAAAUCUCAGUGGAACGUAACAAUUAAUACAAAAUAAACAUUUUAUCCUCCUCAUGUCACAGUGCAAUGUUGAUUGACUCGAGUGGAAGUGACAGAAGUGAGAGCUCUGCUCCAUGUUGUCACUCAGGGAUCCAUUGUUCCAUUAAUUCAGGGAUUUAACAGGUGAAUUAUCUUUUAAGAUUUUUAGAUAUUUUUCUCUUGACACACAAGUUCCAUUGUGUGGCUUGGGUACCUGGUAGGGCACUGAACCUUUUCGCUGGAUUCAGAUAACUGGUUGGCAGGUGAGGAAAAAGAGAUCACGAAGAAGCUUGUGGAAGUUCUUAGGACAAACCUGCAAGGGUGUGUCCAUUGACAAGAACUAUUCACAUAGCCCCACUAGAUGCAAGAGCUCUUGGAAAGUCAGUCUACUAGUAUCCCAACAAGAAAAGGAGACACAGAUAUUGGUGUACAAGAGCAUCCUCUGAAUAUCCCCUCCUUCCUCCGUGCUGUGGAUGCUAUGGACACAGUGGUGCAUCUCCCAAUUCUCCCUUUAACGAAGCACUUAUUGCCCCAGCUGUAGGCAGGGCUCAUUGUUGACAGCCUUCAACUGUCAGCCCCUUCAGGAAUCAUCUUAGCUGCAAAGAGCUACCUUGCCCAAGGCUGCAUCAUCCUUCCUGGAAUGGCCCUCAUCCAAUGACUGAUCAAGGUGGGAGUAUAAAUGUCUAGUCAUUUUGACCCCAAACAGGACAAGUCUGAUAUGGAGUAUUUUAGUUCCAGGCCCUUGUAGGACUGGCCAAUUCUGUUGUUGGGUUUGCUUUGCAGCUGGACUUUCCCCUCUGCCCAAUCUGGCUUUCCCCUCCUCUCCAAAGAUAUUCCCAAGAGCACUGCCUAAGAAACAUUCUGCAGGCCGGGUGUGGUGGCUCAUGCUUAUAAUCCCAGCACUUUGGAAGGCCAAGGCAGGAGGAUAGCUUAAGCCCAGAAGUUCAAGACCAACCUGGGCAACAUAGUGAGGCCUUGUCUCUACCAAAAAAAAUUAAUAAUAAUUUUAAAAGAAAUUUUAAAAAGAGAAACAUCCUGUGCACUAAACCUCAAUCUCAGAGCCCAUUUCCUUGGAGAGCCUAACCUGCAACAAUGGGUAAAUACUAUAAGCCCUAUCAAUGGGUAAAUACUAUAAACCUGUCAGGGUUCUUUGAACUUUUCUGUUGUUCUCUGCUGUGGUCCAACACCUGUAAUGAUGCCUGACACACAGUAUGUACUUGCUAAAAUACAUUUUAAGGCCAGGCUUGGUGGUUCAUGCCUGUAAUCCUAGCACUUUGGGAGGCUGAGGUGGGAGGAUCACUUGCGCUCGGGAGUUUGAGACCAACUUGGGCAACAUAGACCUCAUCUCUUUAAAAAAAAAUAAAAAAAUUAAAUUAAAUACAUUUUAAGAUGAAUGUCUAUUUAAUUGUACAUGUAUACUUGUCAUUCUCCUUUGCCACGUUCUCCUCAAGGACAAAGUCAAUGAAGUCAUCUUCCCUGUCACUAGCUCCCAGCUUAGCGCUGGCAAUCAUUACUUAGAAAAGAAAGAUGAUUUUUUUUUUCAGCAGAGGCAAAUACAUAAAUAGUGUAAAUAGUCAGAGAAUGGAGGGAAAGAUCUUCCUAGACCAGGGGCCAGUUUCUACAGAGGAAAGAAAGACUCAGGUAGAAAGCUGGCGGUGGGGGGUGUAAGAGUCUGGUGAUUGUCUUGAGCUGAUGUUUGCUAGUGAGUGUUCUUUUUUCUUAGUGUAUUUUUAUUUGGGAUGGAUGAUGGAAGUGAUUGGGUGUAAGGCCAACUCAAGCCA
rnacentral:lncRNA from 1 species